AAAAUUUUUCAAAAGAAAAAAAAAUCUGUUCUUAUCAGUUUAAUAUCUGAUACGUCCCCCAUCCGGGGACUACAUAUUAAAUGGAUUUUUAGAUCACGGAGCUGGAGCCGGGGCUUGCUCCGUCCACUCCAUGCAUCGGCCUGGUAUUGCAGUGUCUCCAGGAACGGUGUGCUUUCC
rnacentral:snRNA from 1 species